GAUGAACGCUGCGGCGUGCCUAAUACAUGCAAGUCGAGCGAAUGGAUUAAGAGCUUGCUCUUAUGAAGUUAGCGGCGGACGGGUGAGUAACACGUGGGUAACCUGCCCAUAAGACUGGGAUAACUCCGGGAAACCGGGGCUAAUACCGGAUAACAUUUUGAACCGCAUGGUUCGAAAUUGAAAGGCGGCUUCGGCUGUCACUUAUGGAUGGACCCGCGUCGCAUUAGCUAGUUGGUGAGGUAACGGCUCACCAAGGCAACGAGGCGUAGCCGACCUGAGCGGUGGAUCGGCCACACUUGGACUGAGACACGGCCCCGCCUCCUACGAGAGGCAGCAGGAGGGAAUCUUCCGCAAUGGACGAAAGUCUGACGGAGCAACGCCGCGUGAGUGAUGAAGGCUUUCGGGUCGUAAAACUCUGUUGUUAGGGAAGAACAAGUGCUAGUUGAAUAAGCUGGCACCUUGACGGUACCUAACCAGAAAGCCACGGCUAACUACGUGCCAGCCGCCGCCGUAA
rnacentral:rRNA from 1 species